AUCUGUUCCAAAUCAGGAUUUCGGGGUUUCCCGAUUAUUACGAAUGUGCCACUUCCUUCCUUUUGGGACUCCCCCUGUUUCGUUUUUUUUUCCCCUAAUAAAUGUUCAUUAUAAUGUAACGCCUUUCUUCUUCCUCUUUUUUCUUGUUUUUUUUUUCCCCCCUUUUCUACUGCAUUUUUCUGCUGCAGAGAUUGGGUUUUUUUUGGGUUCUGGGUUUUGUUCAUCUGAUUGUUUUGUCCAAGAAAAAUUGAUUUUUUUUGGGAACGCUAAUGGAAGAGGAAGAAGAAGCACUUCCGGACCAUUUGCGAUGCAAGAGGACUGAUGGGAAGCAAUGGCGUUGCAAACGAAGAGUGAUGGAUAAUCUGAAGCUCUGUGAAAUUCACUAUCUCCAAGGCCGCCAUCGCCAGUAUAAGGAGAAAGUUCCGGAUUCUCUCAAACUUCAAAGGACGAACAGAAAAUCGAUUGAAACAGAUUCGAAUGUUAAAAACGUCGUAAUUAGGGCGGCCCCAAAAGCGGCAACACUGGCAAAACUAAUGAAGAGGAAGAAAUUAGGGGGGGCUUCAGCCGCAUUGGAUGGGAUGCUAAAUAGAAUGAAGAUGAAGAAAGGGAGUAUGCAGUUUGAGUUGAUAAAGAUGGUGCUGCGGAGGGAAGUGGAGAAGAGAAGAAAGAAGAAGGUUGUUGAGAAGGCUAGGAAGAAGAUGAAGAAUAUGGAUAAUGAAAUUGAGUUGGAGGAGAACAGUGAUAAGGAGAUGAUGAGGCAAUUGCCCAAUGGACUUAUGGCAAUUUCUCCUUCUCCAUCUCCUCUCCAAUCUGGCAAUGAAGGUUCUUCUUGCGGAAUCAAGAUUGGGGCAGAAUCGAGACCGGCUCAGCAACGGCGAUUUCGCUCUAAGAAUGUCAAUAUUCUUCCAGUUGGCGACUUGCAGGUACUACCAUAUGGGCGUAAUGUGGGGAAAUUGAGAAAAUGUAAGAGGAAGAAGUGCCAUGGGUGUCAGAAAAGUACUUCUUGGAGUUUAACUCAGUGUUCAAGUUGUCAAAAAACCUUCUUCUGCUUAGACUGCAUAAGAGAACGGUACUUUGAUACACCAGAAGAAGUUAAAAGGGCAUGCCCUGUUUGCCGUGGGAUUUGCAACUGUAAGGACUGCUCAGUGUAUCAAUCUUUGCACACAGAAUGUAAGGAUUUUUUGGGAGAUGGCGUUGGAAAAAUUCUACGAUUCCAUUAUUUGAUUUGUGUUCUUCUCCCUAUACUCAAAGAAAUAAACAUAGAGAAGCACACUGAGCUGGAAACAGAGGCCAUGAUAAAAGGGAUAGAACUUUCCGAAGUUGAUAUCAAGCAGGAUGAAUUUGGCAGUCUUGAACGUUGUUGCAACAACUGCAAAACUAUUAUUGUGGAUCUCUACAGAAAUUGCCCAAGUUGUUCCUAUAAUCUCUGCUUAAGUUGCUGCCAUAAUAUUUUUCUUGAGGAUUCCAGUGGAGUUUGUAACAUGUCUACUUCAAAGCAUCUUAAUGGAAAGAAAACCUGUCUGUCUGAUAAAAAGAAACUUUUGAAAAACAAGAAAUUAAAUCCUGGUAUGUGGCUUCCUUCUUCCAAGUCAUCGCAUAAGGGAAGAGUUCAUAAUAGUGUUAGACAUUUUUCUUGUCCGUCAAAAGAAUGUGGCAGCUGCAGUGAUAGCCUUCUUGAGUUGAGAUGUAUUUUCCCAUUAAGUUGGACUAAGGAACUUGAAGUGAGUGCAGAAGAAAUAGUAUGCAGCUAUGAUUUUCCAGAGUCUGUUGAUGCAUCGUCACACUGUACUUUGUGCUUUGGUGAGGAUCGUGAUGUUGAUGAAAUUGAACAGUUCCAGAAAGUAGCUGUCCGUGAGGAUUCAAAUGAUAACUAUUUGUAUUAUCCCAGCCUUCUAGACAUCCGUCUUGAUGACCUUGAGCACUUUCAGAGGCACUGGAUUAAAGGUCAUCCAGUAAUUGUACGCGACAUACUGGAGAAUUCUGAUCUCACUUGGGAUCCAGUAGUUAUGUUUUGCACUUACCUUGAGAGAACCAUUUCUAGAUUCGAAAAUAGUACGAGUCUCCCAGAAGCUUCCAAUAACUUGGACUGGUGUGAGGUAGAAAUUGGAAUUAGGCAGUAUUUUAUGGGUUCUCUUAAGGGGCAGACACGCACAAACACUUGUAACAACAUGUUAAAAUUAAAAGGUUGGCUUUCUUCCCAUUUGUUUCAAGAGCAGUUUCCAGCUCAUUAUGCUGAAAUAAUGCGAAUUCUACCACUUCAAGAAUACAUGAACCCCAUGUCUGGUCUUCUAAAUCUAGCUGCAAAGUUGCCACAGGAAAUUGCAAAGCCUGACAUGGGUCCAUGUGUCUAUAUUGCCUAUGGAUGUUCUGAAGAUCAUGUUUUGGCUGACUCUGUCUCCAGAUUAUGUUAUGACUCGUAUGAUGUGAUUAACAUUUUGGUCCACAGUACAGACGUCCCUGUUUCAACAGAACAACUUACAAAAGUUAUCAACUUGCUUCAAAGGCAAAGGGCACUAAGUGAGUCCUCCAAUACCUCUACUAAUCAGUCAAGUGUCGAGGAAGUAGAAUCUUGUAAGGCUGGCGAAGAAACACCCUUCAGUAAGAAGUUUGCAAAAGUACCCUGUUUCUCUGUAUCCACUGAUCAAGUGUUUGCUCAGGGCACUAAACGCCCUAGUAUGACCUCCGAUGGUGCAUGUGACUCGGAUCCUGAACCAUUAAUGCUCCAAUGCAAAUCUUCCCGAAUUAAUGAGACAACUGGACCUCAAACGAAGUUUAGGGAACAGACAGGAUCAUCUCUUGUCAUUGGAAAUAAUUCUUCAAAGUCUUGUGGUGCCCAAUGGGAUGUCUUUCGGAGGCAAGAUGUUCCUGGGCUAUCAGAGUACCUUCGCAAGCAUUCUGAUGAGUUCAUUCAUAAGCAUGUUGUGCAUCCAAUUCUAGACCAGAGUUUUUUUCUUGAUACAGCCCACAAAUUGAGGCUGAAGGAGGAGUUUCAAAUUGAACCAUGGACUUUUGAGCAAAAUGUUGGAGAAGCUGUCAUCAUUCCUGCUGGAUGUCCAUACCAGAUACGGAAUCAAAAGUCUUGCGUACACGUGGUAUUAGAUUUCAUCUCACCUGAAAGUGUUGGCGAAAGUAUCCAGUUGACCGACGAGGUUCGCCUGCUUCCAGAAAACCACAUAGCAAAAGAGAAGACAUUAGAGGUAAAAAAGAGGGCCCUCGAUACUAUAGAUGCAGCAAUAAAACAAGUACGGGAGCUUACAAAUGCAUUGCAAGAAGUAUCCCAUUGAUUGUAAAAAGUUUUGGUGAAGGAUAAUGGAGACUGGAGGAGGGGAUUUGAUGUUUUGAUGAAGGCGGCGGCCACGGACGCCAUUGCAGGUGAACACCCAAGGUCAGGGCCGGCCUCUGGUUCGGUUUCAAUCUUCUCUGUUUCUUCAGCAAGGGGGCUUUUUUAAUAAUUAAUGAUGCAGUUGUUCCACCGAAACCGAAAGUGAAGUAGGGGAGAAAACAAAGUGGAGGAGAGAUACGGUUAAAAGAAUAAGAAGAAAGGAAUAGAAAGACAACUAAUGCAUUGCAAGAAGACACAUGGACCAGUUUGCAAUUUCCUGUGGCAACUUUGCAGGCUCUUUAGAAGGCCAGACAUGGGGUUCAUGUAUUCUUGAAGAUUGGGGGAA